rnacentral:lncRNA from 1 species
GUAUGUAUCUGUAUUGUCCAGGGCAGACUAGGUCAUGCUGUGGAAACAAAACACUCUGAAAUCUCGACUGCUUAACACAACAGCAAACAUUUUUUUCUUGCUCAAGAAAAAACCUACCUACUGCAGAUCCAGCUGACCCUCCUAUCCUUCAUGCAGCAACUCCACAAUCCAGGUUGCUUUGACCUUAUGGUGCCAUCACCUAAAUAUGAGGCAUUCCGCAAGAUCACUUCAGCUGCAAUGAGCUGCUUCAGCCCAGGAGUGACCCGUGUCCCUUACAGUCACAGCCUGUUGGCCAGGACAGCUAUCCAGCCUCACUUGGCUGCCAGAGGAGAGAAAUUUGAUCCUUCCAUGUGCCCAGGAGAGGAGCACAGAUACGCGGAUAUGGGUGCAAGAGAUUCAGACUCUUUGUGCUCUCCUUCAGCAAGGCACAGGUUGAACUCAGGAAAACUAAGUCAGAGACUAAAUAAAUGUCUUCAUAUAAAGGUGUGAGUUUACAAAGAAGAAUCAAAUGAGGAACCCAAGCAACUGUUGCUUUCACGUAACUUGGAGGUUUCUAAGGCAGUGUUUCUCAAUGUCAAGAUGUCACGUUUCAAAAGACAACCUGAAUUCUCAGAUGAUUUCAAUGCAAGAUAAAUUUUCACUUGCCUCCAUUUUACAAAUAAAUAAAUG